rnacentral:lncRNA from 1 species
GCUUCCAAAAAUCAUGGUACAUGAGGGGCAUGUACCUGAAAACACACACAGAUAGCGUGUCUUCAGGUAGCGUGUUACGUCAACAGUGGUAGCUAAACCACUUCAUUCAGCUCACCCUCUGGUUGUAAAUUUCCAAAAGAAAAUUCAGAAGUCCAAAGAGUCUUCCUUCCCUAGAGAGGAUCUCAUGGGGCCUCAGCAUAAGAAGCUGAACUCUAGUCUAAGGUAUCGGUGUAGUUAGGUAACCUUUCCUAGGGAUAACAAAGAUGCCCCUGACCACAGAGCACAGCAACCCUUGUAACUUCUCCAAUGUUCUUCCUUGGCUUUCAGGCUUUCCUUGAACGAUACCUCAGUGCAGGCCCCACCUUGCAGUAUGACAAGGAUCGAUGGCUCUCGACACAGUGGAGACUUAUUAGUGACGAGGCUGUGACGAACGGGUUACGGGAUGGAAUUGUUUUCGUCCUUAAAUGCUUGGACUUCAGCCUCGUGGUCAAUGUGAAGAAAAUCCCAUUCAUAGUUCUCUCAGAAGAGUUCAUAGACCCUAAAUCUCACAAGUUUGUUCUUCGCUUACAGUCCGAGACAUCAGUCUAAAAUUUCUAUGCUUGUGGCUUUAUGGAAAACAAAAGAAGAAUAUAUAAAUAUAUAUAUAUA